CACGGGGGUUGCGAGCGUUGUCCGGAAUUACUAGGCGUAAAGGGCAGGCAGGCGGAUCCAUAAGUUUAUCGUUUAAGGCGUCGGCUUAACCGGCGUAGGGCGGUAGAUACUGUGGAUCUGGAAUGCGGUUGGGGAAGACAGAAUUCCUGGUGUAGCGGUGGAAUGCGCAGAGAUCAGGAGGAAUACCGAAGGCGAAGGCAGUCUUCCAAGCCGUUAUUGACGCUCAACUACGAAGGUGUGGGUAUCAAACAGGAUUAGAUACCCCGGUAGUCCCUGAGCGGGCU
rnacentral:rRNA from 1 species